AAAGAAUUCUUGAGAUGUCUUUGUGCAAAAAAGAUGAUUUUAUUAAAACACAGGCCAGGACUCAUGGGCAGAAAGAGCUUCUGCACUGGGAUUGUGAGGGGUGGCUGAUUACAUACUUGGGAAUUGGAGAAGGAGAAAUCUUCUAAAAUAAAGCACCCAAGAAUAAAGUUUGAUCUUACUCUGAACAGAAAACCAAAGCCAGUUUGCUACACAACCCAGAAUAAGUUGGGUAGAGAGAUGGCAACUCCUUUGGCAACUGAAAUAGUGACAAAGAUGUCAGCAAGAAGUGAAGUGACAUUCCACUGACACAAUCCAAAUAUUUUGAAAGACAAUGGCUAUACAAACUAAGUAUUUGCAUUGACCUCAAGUUCUACUCUCCUCUCUCAGUUUUGCAGCUGAGGAAAUGAAGGCUCAGAAUCAAUAUGUGGGUUUUGGAAAAUCACUUAAUAAUUGAGCCAUAUCUUACUAUCCUCAAUCCAGUGUUGUACCUACAGUAAAACACAGUGAUCCAAAUAA